UACGGAGGAUCCAAGCGUUAUCCGGAAUCAUUGGGUUUAAAGGGUCCGUAGGCGGUUUGGUAAGUCAGUGGUGAAAGCCCAUCGCUCAACGGUGGGACGGCCAUUGAUACUGCCAGACUUGAAUUAUAGGAAGUAACUAGAAUGAUGUAGUGUAGGCGGUGAAAUGCUUAGAGAUUACAUGGAAUACCAAUUGCGAAGGCAGGUUACCUACUAAGUGAUUGACGCUGAGUGGACGAA
rnacentral:rRNA from 1 species